rnacentral:lncRNA from 1 species
GCUCGCCGCUGCUUUGCAUCCGGCCCGCCCGCGGCGCGGGGAUCGGACGCCGCUGCUCGGAUGAAUUUCCCACCCGUGAGCGCUGAUACGGUUAUCUCUGCUCUGCAGACGGAGAGUCCGAAGCACUGAGGAUAAGUGACUUGUCCAAGGUGACUUCGCAGCCGAGUCCGGGAGAGGACUCUGAAGUCCUGCCUCCAGCCCCCUGCCCUGCCUGCAUCGGUCGCUAACAUCACCAGAGCUUCCUCCUGCGAGCGCUGCGGCUGCAUCGCGCUUUGCCCUGCUCCGCUCGGCUGCUCUGCGAGCAGGGACCGCUGCUACCUGCCUGCUAACGUGAACCGGGGGAAUAGCCGUAGGGAAGCAAUGCRCUGCUUGAACACAGCCGCCAGCACGCCCGCCGACAGGUCGUUCUUUUUACAGUCUAUUUGGGAAACAACCAUUUGCAUGCGCUUCUCCCCAGCUCGGGGACGAACCCAUACCGCAGGGCCACCGCUUGGAGCAUGACACCCAGACCCGUGCCUGGGGACACCCGAAAUCCCCCGGCUGCCUGGAGAAGGAAGGAGGUUUGCAGCCAUUCCCCUCCCUGCCGCAGGCCCCRCUGGGGCUGCUUCCAAGCCACCUGCAUCCGCCAGCACCCGCCGGCYGCACUCCUGCUCCUGUUUGCACAUCUCCAUCGCCUUCGCCUUGGAGGUAUCAGUGGGGAAGACCAACACUGUGAUGGCUCUGAAUGGCUCCAAUGUCCUGCUGCCCUGCAUCUUCACCACCUGCAUAGGCUUCCAGGACCUGGUCUUCACAUGGUAUUUCAACUCGACAGAGAUGAUUUACCACGGCAAGAUCAAGAGCAAGGCCUCGGAGCCCUCCCUCGUGGGACGCAACCCCCGGGUCGAGUUCGUCGGCUCGACCACCGGGAAGGACAACAACAUCUCCAUAGUGCUGAGCGAAGUGGAUUUCAGCGAUGCCGGGAAAUACACGUGCCACGUCAAGAACCCCAAGGAGAAGAACGCGCAGCACAGCGCCUCCAUCUUCCUCACCGUCGUCCACAAGAUGGUGGAGACGGACAACACCUUGACGCUCAUCAUCGUAAGCGUCGUGGGGGGCGUCAUCGGCUUUCUCGUCUUCUUCAUGCUGGUCAAGAAAGUUAUCCUCUUCAUCAUCAAGAAGAUGCAGGACAGGAAGUGAGUAUGGACGCGUGCCGC